rnacentral:lncRNA from 1 species
CCUGAGCAGAGUGGGAAGUGGGAGGAGCAGCCGAAUGGUGUAAAAGACUUGAAAUUCUCCAACACACAGAUGUAGAUGGAUACAGUUGUCCAAAACCCCUACUCCUUAUUGCCAUUUCGGGUCCAUAGUUGGAUGAUCUCUCAGGACAUGUGGGCAGAGAAACGUGGAGAAAGAUGUAGAAUGAAGGAAAGGAUCUGAGGCAGUCAGCCUCCAAGAUGGCUCUUAAUGAUCCACACCUCUUGGUAUUCACACCUGUGCAUAGGCCCUCUUAUACCUUGGUUGAUGUAUGUGACCAAUAUGGUAGAAGGGACGCCAUGUCACUUCUGAGGCAAGCUUACUAAAGACUGUGGCUUCUAUCUGGAAUUCUCCCUUACUUUCCUUGUUUCUUGCAUCUCUCACUCUGUCAGAAGCCUGCUGUCAUAUUGUCAGGAACCCAGUGCAGACACUCAUAAUGAGGAACUGAAGCUCCAGCCAACAACAAUAAGAAACUGGCCUGCAGGUACUAGCUCUCUCCCAGGAGAUUAAAUGUUUAGGUGAAGGAGAAAGACCUGGAGAACCCCUGGACAUGGUAACCCAAGCAAGUUCCUGAGGAGAUGCAGUGAGCUCAGACUCAGAGUCAUCUGCUCGGAGCCCCAGGAAGCCCG